GGAGAGGUGGCUAAGUGGUUCAAGGCGUAGCAUUGGAACUGCUAUGUAGACUCUUACUUACCAAGGGUUCGAAUCCUUCUCUUUCCG
rfam:Gossypium raimondii Chr13_contig_348, whole genome shotgun sequence.